rnacentral:RNase_P_RNA from 1 species
GAGAGGGAGAGUGCGGCUGACGGUGGCCCAUCAGGGCUGCUGAGGAAAGUCCCCCCACCCUCCGGGCGCGCAGCCCCACGCAAGCGGGGAUGGCGAGAGUCAUGGCAAUGACACAGAAACGACACGUCCUGCCGCCAGCAAUGAAACGAUAGAGCAUCUCCGGUUCUCCGGUGAUUGCGAUACUCUGCAUCUGAUGCAGUUUCAACUCGUUGAGCGUAUCGGCACGGGAUCGAUGGAACGGUGAAUCCCUGCGGGUGCAAGCCAAACAGGGCAGACGGGAUGCCCGGAUCCCGCCCGGGUACGGCGCUUAGCCGAAUGCCGCAAUGAACAGAAGGGGGCUUACUCCUCCCACUC